rnacentral:tRNA from 1 species
AAGAGUGUUGCAUUGAAGCUGCAAAGGUGACUUUUGUCUUUUGGUAUGUAUAAAAUUUAGAA